rnacentral:rRNA from 1 species
CCUACGGGAGGCAGCAGUGGGGAAUAUUGGACAAUGGGCGCAAGCCUGAUCCCGCAAUGCCGCGUGUGUGAAGAAGGCCUGCGGGUUGUAAAGCACUUUCAGUGGGGAAGAAAGUUCAGAGGUUAAUACCCUCAGAUUUUGACAUUACCCACAGAAGAAGCACCGGCUAACUCCGUGCCAGCAGCCGCGGU